UAACGCGUGGUAACCUGCCUGGUAGCGGGGGAUAACUAUUGGAAACGAUAGCUAAUACCGCAUAAGAGUAGAUGUUGCAUGACAUUUGCUUAAAAGGUGUAAUUGCAUCACUACCAGAUGGACCUGCGUUGUAUUAGCUAGUUGGUGGGGUAACGGCUCACCAAGGCGACGAUACAUAGCCGACCUAAGAGGGUGAUCGGCCACACUGGGACUGAGACACGGCCCAG
rnacentral:rRNA from 1 species